AACUCGGUCGGUUUUUCCAGGCUCACCGACUAGAACCACCCCGAUUGUUUUCCCGGGAUCACAAUCGAACCCUUACACCGUUGGUUUCAACCUAGGCUCACCAACAAACCUAUUACCGUUGGUUUUCCCUUUGGCUCACCAACAAACCUUAACCCCUUGAUUCAAUCAAGUUACAAGAUAUUAAAAACAAAGUUUAAAACAAAUCAAAGCUUCUUACACAAGCAAAUAUAACAAUAUAAACAAAAUAGUGUAAAGAGAAGCCCUCAACCGAGUUUUGAAGAUGAAGGAGCUCGGCUUCUUCUUUACUUGACCCUCUUUUGAUUUGGCACGAAGUAGAGGAUUUCCGAGGCAGCACACGGAUGAAGAGGAAGCUUUGGGAUUCACUUGGAUGCUCUUCUUCUCUCUAUUUCACUUUGAAUGGCCCU
rnacentral:lncRNA from 1 species